AUUAUACUGAUCGACAUGAAAUAAAAUUAACUUUAAGAACUCCUCCAUUAGCUUCUUGGCUGCAUUGACAACUUCAGCGCAUGGGGUCGUUUUAUGCUCGACGACUUGCAAGUUAUGCGCUAACCAAAUUUUUCACAAAGUGAUUGCAGCAAGGCUCCGUCGCCGUUUUCCUUAGUUUCCACCACAUCGAGCUAUUAUCUCCCUCCACCAUUUCCAUAACACUGUAGUAUUUUUAGGACACUGAAGAUUCACAUUGUAAAAUAUGGACUGCAGCUUGAGCUUAACAGGGAGUCCUCUGUGAAUUGCUUUCCACAAGAAUACCUUCAUCUUUGUUGGGGAAUGUAAGGACCAGAUCGAUUGCCACACAUCGUUUUGCUUGAAGACCUUCGGAAAGAACUCUAUUAGCGAAUGAAAAAAUUAGAAUGCAAUUCGGUAAACUGAGUUCACUUUGUAGAUCCAGGUAUUUAUCUUGGAUUCCAACGUGUGGAACCUGAAGGAGUUGUGAAAGCUUAGUACGGAUCUGCUGAGGAGUAUUUUGACUGAAAAAGACUGAAGACUUGUUCAGAAGAAGAAGCAGCAGCAGAAGAUGAGGAGAAAAAAAAGAAAGAGUUCUGAAUUAUGCAUAAGGUGUACUUCAACGAAUUUUGAGUGCAUUUCUUAAAUUCUUUGGGUGUAUUUUUUGUAAUCCUUUGGGUGUAUUUCUAUAAUUCUUUGGGUGUAUUGAUUUCAAGAAGAAAUAUACUGUCUCUCCCUAUAUUGGGUGUAUUUCUUAAAUCCUUUGGGUGUAUUUCUGUAAUCCUUUGGAUAUAUUUCUAUAAUCGUUUAGUUUAUUUCUGUAACUGUUUGGGUGUAUUUCUGUAAUUCUUUGGAUGUAUUUCUAUAAUCGUUUGGGUGUAUUUUUGUAAUCGUUUGGGUGUAUUUCUGAAGUGCCAUCAUCUUCAAAACAAUUUCAAAACUUGAUUUCAGAAACCAUGAAAAUCGAAAAAAACAGAAGGAGAUCGAAGGCAAAGAGAGAACGCUUUUCUUCUUCUGUAACGCAUGUGUUAGGCCCAACUUCUUCUUCUUCUGUAACACGCGUGUUAGGCUCAACUUGUAAGACUUGUAAACAAAAAUGACUUGUAUGUGUAGCACUCCUCUAAAAUUAUUUCAA